UACGUAGGGUCCGAGCGUUGUCCGGAAUUAUUGGGCGUAAAGGGCUCGUAGGCGGUUUGUCGCGUCGGGAGUGAAAACACGGGGCUUAACCCCGUGCCUGCUUCCGAUACGGGCAGACUAGAGGUAUGCAGGGGAGAACGGAAUUCCUGGUGUAGCGGUGAAAUGCGCAGAUAUCAGGAGGAACACCGGUGGCGAAGGCGGUUCUCUGGGCAUUACCUGACGCUGAGACGCGAAAGCUAGGGGAGCGAACAGG
rnacentral:rRNA from 1 species